rnacentral:rRNA from 1 species
AUUGAACGCUGGCGGCAGGCUUAACACAUGCAAGUCGAACGAGUGGCGGACGGGUGAGUAAUGCCUGGGAAACUACCUUAUGGAGGGGGAUAACUACGGGAAACUGUAGCUAAUACCGCAUACCAUCGGAUGAGCCCAAGUGGGAUUAGGUAGUUGGUGGGGUAAAGGCUCACCAAGCCGACGAUGACUAGCUGGUCUGAGAGGAUGACCAGCCACACGGGAACUGAGACACGGCCCAGACGCCUACGGGAGGCAGCAGUGGGGAAGAUUGCGCAAUGGGGGCAAGCUGUUGCAGCCAUGCCGCGUGAAUGAAGAAGGCCUUCGGGUUGUAAAGUUCUUUCGGUAGCGAGGCGUUAACUACAGAAGAAGCACCGGCUAACUCCGUGCCAGCAGCCGCGGUAAUAC